CAAGUUACUCCCAAGGGGAAUUAUUAUUUACAUUAAUAUAUGUAAUCGUGCAAUUCGAUUUAACUUGA
rnacentral:tRNA from 1 species